rnacentral:rRNA from 1 species
GACGAACGCUGGCGGCGUGCUUAACACAUGCAAGUCGAACGGAAAGGCCCUGCUUUUGUGGGGUGCUCGAGUGGCGAACGGGUGAGUAACACGUGAGUAACCUGCCCUUGACUUUGGGAUAACUUCAGGAAACUGGGGCUAAUACCGGAUAGGAGCUCCUGCUGCAUGGUGGGGGUUGGAAAGUUUCGGCGGUUGGGGAUGGACUCGCGGCUUAUCAGCUUGUUGGUGGGGUAGUGGCUUACCAAGGCUUUGACGGGUAGCCGGCCUGAGAGGGUGACCGGCCACAUGGGGACUGAGAUACGGCCCAGACUCCUACGGGAGGCAGCAGGGGGGAAUAUUGCACAAUGGGCGGAAGCCUGAGGCAGCAACGCCGCGUGCGGGAUGACGGCCUUCGGGUUGUAAACCGCUUUCGCCUGUGACGAAGCGUGAGUGACGGUAAUGGGUAAAGAAGCACCGGCUAACUACGUG